rnacentral:rRNA from 1 species
UACAGAGGUCUCAAGCGUUUGUUCGGAUUCAUUGGGCGUAAAGGGUGCGUAGGUGGCGUGGUAAGUCGGGUGUGAAAUUUCGGAGCUUAACUCCGAAACUGCAUUCGAUACUGCCGUGCUUGAGGACUGGAGAGGAGACUGGAAUUUACGGUGUAGCAGUGAAAUGCGUAGAGAUCGUAAGGAAGACCAGUGGCGAAGGCGGGUCUCUGGACAGUUCCUGACACUGAGGCACGAAGGCCAGGGGAGCAAACGGG